rnacentral:lncRNA from 1 species
AAGGAAUCGCGCCCGUUUUCCAACCUACCGCGUCGCAAUCGGCCCGAGGAAUGGCCUUUUUCGGCCCUCGUCUGAUGCCUCGCAUUUGCGGGACGACGCGCCAGGGCGCAGCGUGGGGUCUAGACCGGCGCGACCAACGCGCCAGCAAAAGAGGUCUGCCUCGGUGGGCUGGUGCCCAAGACGGCAAAGGCGCCCGGUCCGGCGUUUGCAAUCUGGACGGCCACCGUCUGGCCGGCGGCGAGGAGAAAGUCGCCCGAGAGGGUGCCCUCGGUGGCGGUCGAAAAGUCGACGCCCAGUGCCGGCAGCGCCAGCCACCGUUCGAUCGGGGGCGCGCCACUGUUGGCCACCAGCGAGAGCACGAGGUUGGUGCCGCUCGUCGCCCACACGGGCGAGAUGGGCGCCUCGAAGCGAUAGACGCCCGCCACGGGCGCCGUAAAAGUCGACGUCGCCGGGUCAUAGUUGUUGGCCGGCACGCCGUUUUGUAAGUCGUAGAUCUCAUCAACAAAGUCCACGGUGCCGACGAAACCGGGUACGCCCGUCUGGUCCGUGGUCUUGACGGCGCGAAAGGCCACGGCGAUCUCGGGCGGCGUCGGCGGACCGGGCGGCCCCGCGGGACCCACAUCACCC